UUGCUCCCAGGCGUCGAGUGGCGGACGGGUGAGUAAUACUUAGGAAUCUACCCAGUAGCGGGGGACAACUCGGGGAAACUCGAGCUAAUACCGCAUACGCUCUACGGAGGAAAGCAGGGGAUCUUCGGACCUUGCACUAUUGGAUGAGCCUAAGUCGGAUUAGCUUGUUGGUGAGGUAAAGGCUCACCAAGGCGACGAUCCGUAGCUGGUCUGAGAGGACGAUCAGCCACACUGGGACUGAGACACGGCCCAGACUCCUACGGGAGGCAGCAGUGGGGAAUAUUGGACAAUGGGGGCAACCCUGAUCCAGCAAUGCCGCGUGUGUGAAGAAGGCCUGCGGGUUGUAAAGCACUUUCAGUAGAGAAGAAAAGCCUAGGGUUAAUACCCCUGAGUCUUGACGUUACCUACAGAAGAAGCUCCGGCUAACUCCGUGCCAGCAGCCGCGGUAAUACGGAGGGAGCGAGCGUUAAUCGGAAUUACUGGGCGUAAAGCGCACGUAGGCGGCUUUGUAAGUCGGAUGUGAAAGCCCCGGGCUUAACCUGGGAAUGGCAUUCGAUACUGCAUGGCUAGAGUAUGGUAGAGGGAAGUGGAAUUUCCGGUGUAGCGGUGAAAUGCGUAGAUAUCGGAAGGAACACCGAUGGCGAAGGCAACUUCCUGGGCCAAUACUGACGCUGAGGUGCGAAAGCGUGGGUAGCAAACAGGAUUAGAUACCCUGGUAGUCCACGCCGUAAACGAUGAGAACUAGAUGUCG
rnacentral:rRNA from 1 species